rnacentral:lncRNA from 1 species
UUACACGGACAAUUCAUCUCUUUUAAUUCUUACAUAUAUAAAAUGAAGUUUGAGGUUGAUAACUCAGUUUUAUUCUUAGAUUUUGUAUUUUUGUAUUACUUAAGUAUAUUCAUUUGUAGUAUCAUCACAGAGUGUAUUAUAAACUCUAUGAUGAUCAUAGAAUAUCUAGUUUUCUCUAGCUCUUAUUUUCUUCAUGCUUGUUAAUUCGUUGAGGUUCGUUACCUCAUUAGGAUUAGUAAGUUAAGGC